GAGAGAUGGCUGAGUGGUCGAAGGCGACGGUCUCGAAAAUCGUUAUACCCUUCCGGGUAUCGAGGGUUCGAAUCCCUCUCUCUCC
rnacentral:tRNA from 1 species